UCCGGCGACCGGCGCACGGUGAGUAACACGUAUGCAACCUGCCCUCUUCAGGGGGACAACCUUCCGAAAGGGAGGCUAAUCCCGCGUAUAUCGGUUUCGGGCAUCCGAGAUCGAGGAAAGAUUCAUCGGAAGAGGAUGGGCAUGCGGCGCAUUAGCUAGACGGCGGGGUAACGGCCCACCGUGGCGACGAUGCGUAGGGGUUCGUGAGAGGAAGGUCCCCCACCACUGGUACUGAGACACGGACCAGACUCCUACGGGAGGCAGCAG
rnacentral:rRNA from 1 species